rnacentral:rRNA from 1 species
AACGUAGGAGGCGAGCGUUAUCCGGAUUCACUGGGCGUAAAGCGCGUGUAGGUGGCUCGUCAAGUCGAUGGUGAAAGCCCCUGGCUCAACUGGGGGAGGUCUGUCGAAACGGACGGGCUUGAGGGUCAGAGAGGAAGGUGGAAUUCCCGGUGUAGCGGUGGAAUGCGUAGAGAUCGGGAGGAACACCAGUGGCGAAGGCGGCCUUCUGGCUGACCACUGACACUGAGACGCGAAAGCGUGGGUAGCAAACGGG